GAUUGCUAAGUUAAAAUUUCACAAAACACAUUUCAAAUUUACAAGCUAUAUUUAACAUUCAUGAAGAAAUUGAAAGGAAGCACAACAAUAGGAGGCAAGAGGAAGGCAACAUUAUCUA